CGGGAAGUAGCUCAGCUUGGUAGAGCACAUGGUUUGGGACCAUGGGGUCGCAGGUUCGAAUCCUGUCUUCCCGACCA
rnacentral:tRNA from 292 species